CAUUCGAUUGUAUAUUCAGUGAGUCUGUUCAAGCAAAUUAUUUAUUUUAUUAUUACGUAGGUAUAGCACUGAAUAUUUUUUUUUUCCAAAAAAGGGAGAAUAAAUUACCUUACCAAAAAAAUUAAACCCCAAAAGGGCAAAAAAGUAAGGAAAAAAACCGAACUUUUGGCGAAAAGGAAAAAAGCCAAAGGGGAACCACCCCAAAACAGAAAAAAAAAAAGAAGGGCCCCAAAAUAAUAAUGGGGGGAAAAAAAAAAGGAAAUAAUUUUUGGACAACCCUAAAGGGGGCUGGAAAAAACCCCCCAGGGGGGCGGUCCCAAAAAACCCCCAGGAGUGGGGGGACCCCCCCCCC
rnacentral:rRNA from 1 species